GCAGCAUUUGCCACUUGACUUUCCGCUUUGCCCUCUUUUCUGUCGCCUUGGCAACCUGGACCUCCCACCUGACCCUUCUCUUUUUUUCUGUUUAUUUUCCUGGACAUAACUCUGACUUAUCAUAGAGAAUGGGCCGAUUCAGGGUGGAGGUUUGUUCCCAAGACAAUCAGCCUUUCAUUCCUGGCCCUAAGGUUUGCGCCUCUCCCCCACCCCAAUCAUGACCGGGGUACCUUAGAAUACACCCACGCCCGUCUCGGCCCAACCUUGGCCUCACCCCGCUUCUAAAUAGUUCCAGCUUCCACCAAUGGGCACAGAGCCGCAUCCCGCCCUUCUUAGUCCGGCCCCUAUUUUAGGUUGAGUCCAGCUUCCGCCAAUCAACGCAGAGCCAGGUUCCGCCCCUUUAUAACUGGCUGCUGCUCGACGCUGACCUCCUCGUAGGCAUUUAGAUUCCGCCACUCAGCGCUCCUUUGCGUGCCUGGCUGCUGUCCAACCCCUCCUAUCUGGGCUCCGUUCUAAAAUCGUCUUUUCUAGCCAAUCACUACAGAGUUACCCUGCCCACCUACGCACAGCCCUGGCCCAGCCCCCUGCCAGCCUGCUGCUACGCCCACUUCCAUACAAGGCCUGCUUCCGCUGAGCAGCGUGGAGUGCAGCACCGCCCCGUUGGUGUUUUGGCAGCUGUCUGGAGUCCCUCCUCCGCCAAUCAGCAGAAAGCAGAGUCCAUCCACCCUUGUCCUCGAAGGCUGUCUUCCGUGUAGGCCAAUCAUUGUGAGGCAGGCGCCCCCAGAGUCUUGUCAAUCGCCCACGGGCUGUCAGUCUUGAGCCAAUCAGCGUGAAGCGCCGGUGGGGCCCAGCACGCCCCCUCGGAACCCAGGCGGCCAUCUGCGUUCCAUCAGUCUCCCUUGGGCCAGUCACGGCACAGCUCUGUGGGGCAGGGCCCGCCUCCCCAACCCUGGAAGCCGCGCGGUCGAUCCAAGGCGCUCUGUCCAACCCACGAGCGGCAGAAUGCUCGGCUCCUCCUCCGUAGGCCCACGUGAGCGGUGAGGAAACGCAGGGGCGGCUUCUAGGUGCUGCCGCCGCUGCCGCCGCCGCCGCCACCGCCACCGCCUCGGAGCCCGGGCCUGGGGGGCGGUGGGGCUGCGCAUGGAGCCCCCGCCCCCCGGAGCUGCCAAUACUGCCACUGCGCUACACACAGUUACCCGUGGUCAAGCAGAAGAUGAUCCUCCUGACCUGUCAUCAGAAGGUCAGUGGUAGCCUAAUACUAUGUCACAGUGCCUACGUCAUUACCUCACUUCAUCUCAUUAUAUGGGUAUUUAAUCAUCCCACAUCAUCACAAGAAGAAGGCCUCUCAGCUCUGAGCCAUCUGCCCUCCAGGUACCCCUGGGAUGGCGUGAGCGCUCCCCCAGCGAUGGACCCCUCUGUGACGCUGUGGCAGUUUCUGCUGCAGCUGCUGAGAGAGCAAGGCAACGGCCACAUCAUCUCCUGGACCUCACGGGAUGGCGGUGAGUUCAAGCUGGUGGAUGCUGAGGAGGUGGCCCGGCUGUGGGGCCUGCGUAAGAACAAGACCAACAUGAAUUACGACAAGCUCAGCCGGGCCCUGCGGUAUUACUAUGACAAGAACAUCAUCCGCAAAGUGAGCGGCCAGAAGUUCGUCUACAAGUUUGUGUCCUACCCCGAAGUCGCGAGGUGCUCCACUGAGGACUGCCCGCCCCAGCCCGAGGUGUCCAUCACCUCUACUGUGGCAAAUGUGGCCCCCACUGCUAUACAUGCUGUCCCCGGGGACGCUGCCUCUGGGAAACCAGGCACACCCAAGGGUGCAGGAAUGGCAGGCCCGGGUGGCUUGGCACGCAGCAGCCGGAACGAGUACAUGCGCUCAGGCCUCUAUUCCACCUUCACCAUCCAGUCCCUGCAGCCACAGCCACAGCCGCCCCCUCAUCCUCGGCCUGCCUCAGUGCUCCCCAACACCGCCCCUUCGGGAGCAGCAGUGCCCCCAUCUGGGAGCAGGAGCACCAGUCCAAGCCCCUUGGAGGCCUGCCUGGAGGCCGAGGAGGCCGGCCUGCCUCUGCAGGUCAUCCUGACCCCACCCGAGGCCCAGAACCCUAAAUCAGAAGAGCUGAAUGUGGAGCCCGGGUUGGGCAGGCCACUGCCCCCAGAAGUGAAAGUGGACGGGCCCAAGGAAGAGUUGGAAGCCGCAGUCGGUGGGGAGGCGGGGUUUGUGCAGGAAGUCGCUAAGGCCGGGCCGGAAGUCCCUCCUGCGGAGGGCGUGCCGGCCCGGCUGCCCGCGGUCGUCAUGGAGACUGCGGCGCAGGUGGGCGGCCUCGCGGCUUCCACUGCUUCCAGCACAGAGAUCGCCCAGCCUCAGAAGGGCCGGAAGCCCCGGGACCUGGAGCUUCCGCUCAGCCCGAGCCUGCUGGGUGGGCCAGGACCCGAACGGACCCCAGGAUCGGGAAGUGGCUCCGGGCUGCAGGCGCCGGGGCCAGCGCUGACCCCGUCCCUGCUACCUACGCACACAUUGACCCCGGUGCUGCUGACACCCAGCUCGCUGCCCCCCAGCAUUCACUUCUGGAGCACCCUGAGUCCCAUUGCACCCCGUAGCCCAGCCAAGCUCUCCUUCCAGUUUCCAUCCAGUGGCAGCGCCCAGGUGCACAUCCCUUCCAUCAGCGUGGAUGGCCUCUCAACCCCCGUGGUGCUCUCCCCAGGGCCCCAGAAGCCAUGACUACCACCACCACCACCACCACCCCCUUCUGGGGUCACUCCAUCCAUGGCCCUGAACUUCUCUCCAGCCAGCCGUCUCAAGGAGAAACAUAGUUCAGCUGACAGACUUACGCUCUAGUUGUGGUGGGGUAGGGAUUCUUAGGAAAGAUCUCUCAGUAACCCUUUCACAGGAAACAUACAACUUCUCUCUUCUCGGUCAGUUCCCCAGUGGCCGCCCUUACACGUCUCCUACUGCAGUGGUGGGGACGGUUUAUUUAUUUAUUUUUUGAAGGCCACUGGGAGGAGCCUGGCCCACCCCUUUUGGGGGGUUGGUGAGGACAUCUCCCCCAUCUCCACAUUUUCUCCCCAAGAUGAGACCGUCGGGGUCUGGCUUGAGAAGGACCUUUAUUUAUUUCUCAGCCUGCCCUUGGGAAGCUGAGGGAGCCCUGUCUCCAUUUUGGGGUGUGAGUAGAAGAGGUAGCUUGUUGUUGUUUAUUAUUCCUGGCCAUACCCGAGGGUCCAGGAAGAAUUUGUGCCGUUUAACGGUUUGGGAGUCUUGGCCAAGGAAAGACUCACACCCUUGAAAUAGGAAUUUCCACCUCCCCAGCCUUUGUCUCAGAUAUCACCUUUUAGGCCAGGGAGGAAUGCCCCUUUUGUUCUUCUCCCCCUGAGAAGCCAUUCCUGUGUCUGCCAAACUCCUGGGGUCCUGCCUGUUACCUCCCAAUGGAGGGUUUUUUUGGGGAGUGGUCUCCGUCUGGGGGGCCCCUCCAGCCAGUACUCCAGGUCACCUUGUCCCCCCGCCCCCUGCCAUUUUGAUAGUAUAAUCUAUUUUUAAACAGGGCUUUUCAAUAGGGGAGAGGGGAGCAUCUCUUCCUGUAUCUGAGAUGGGGUGGGUGGGAAGGAAGGGAUUUGGUGGGGGGGAUCUUCCUGCCACCCGCAAGUGUUUAUUUUUGAUACCAAACGUGUAUUUUCAGCUCCCUCCCUCCCAGCCCCCCAAUUUCCUGCGGGCGGGUACAAAGGACCCUUUAAGUGUCCCUGGAGUUGGGAGGGAGGAAUGGGGGACAUAAAGCCUGUCCUAUCUGAAUUCCAGGCUGGAGAGGGUGGGUUCAAAGGACUCCUGGGCUCACCUCCUAUCAGCACCGGCCCAGCCCGGGCCUAGGGACCUGGGGGUUGGUGAUUUGGGGGACGGUGCUACACCUGUCUCCACUGUUUGUUUUACUUCCCCAAAAAUGGAUCUUUUUUUCUAAGAGUCCCAGAGAAUGGGGAAUUGUUCCUGUAAAUAUAUAUUUUUAAAGGUGACGCUGGAGGCUGCUAGCCUUUUUCCGCCCCCCCCCCCCCGAGGCCACUGGGACUGACUGUGACAGGCAUGACUUUCUGUGGAAGGCGGCGAGGGUGUGACACUGACUGUGAGAGAGAGCAUGACAGCGUGUGUCGGAGACAGCCGGCGAGCCUGCAGAUUGGUAACCAGGUGUGCAAAGAAGAGAGAGAGGGUGGAAAGCUGCGAUCGCGUGUGUGUGCGUGAGAGACUGGCGGCUGGAACCACGGACGACACCGUGUCUGUGGGAGAAAUUACGGCCGUGCGCUGGAAAAUCACUGGGAGACUGAGUGCGGACUAAGGCACUGUCGCAGAGCCCGGAGGUACGCGUGACGUCCUGUUGAGGCACAGGUAGCCGGGCCGGCGCCUCCGACACCGUUUGACCGGCUGACGGUGGUGAGCGACACACGCCGCGUGAGCCCGCACGGGCACGAAGGUGUGGCGGAGCCGGUCAGGGCCUGGGUGCGGGCGAGAAGCCCGCCUGUAAAUCCGCAGGGCGUUGUGCUCGGGACACGCAUGGUGUGUGAACCUUCACGCAAGGCUGUCGUAGCGACCGAAGUCCUGGGAGCCUUGUGGAGAAGAGCUGACCGUGAGACAGAAGAUGACUGUGAGGCCCAAGAUCCAAGCCUGCGGGACCGUGUGUGCGGAGCAUGAGGCUGUAAGCGCGUGUGGGUACGUGGGUGAGUGGGUGUGCCUGAGACCAGUGGCAGAUGGAUGACAGGUACUACUCCAGUCUGGCCCAGAGGCUCCGGGACCGGGACGGCAAGGGAGAAAAGGAUGGUGAGGCCGAGUGACUGAAGCAGCACGAGAGACCAUGGAACGGUCCGAGCGAGAGCCGAGGAGGCACAUGGCGCCGUGUGAGAGAGACCUGGGCAGCCGAGCGGCUCAGUCCCCGUCCUCUGCUUCACCCACUAUGAGGAAUCCUCCGGCAUAUGCAAGGGCCUCCUGGGGGGCGGUGUCAGUGUGGAAGACUGCUGUCUCAACCCUGCCUAUGGCUUCCAGGAGCCUGGCAG